GCAUAUCAAUAAGCGGAGGAAAAGAAACCAACAGGGAUUGCCCCAGUAGCGGCGAGUGAAGCGGCAAGAGCUCAGAUUUGAAAUCGUGUUUCGGCACGAGUUGUAGAGUGUAGGCGGGAGUCUCUGUGGAGCGCGGUGUCCAAGUCCCUUGGAACAGGGUGCCUGAGAGGGUGAGAGCCCCGUAGGGUGCUGCGCGAAGCUUUUGAGGCCCUGCUGACGAGUCGAGUUGUUUGGGAAUGCAGCUCCAAGCGGGUGGUAAAUUCCAUCUAAGGCUAAAUAUUGGCGAGAGACCGAUAGCGAACAAGUACUGUGAAAGAAAGAUGAAAAGCACUUUGAAAAGAGAGUGAAACAGCACGUGAAAUUGUUGAAAGGGAAGGGUAUUGGGCUCGACAUGGGGGGUGCGCACCGCUGUCUCUUGUAGGCGGCGCUCUGGGCGCCCUCUGGGCCAGCAUCGGUUCCUGCUGCGGGAGAAGGGGCUCCGGAAAGUGGCUCUUCGGAGUGUUAUAGCCGGGGCCAGAUGCCGCGUGUGGGGACCGAGGACUGCGGCUUCUGUCUCGGAUGCUGGCAUAACGGCGCAAUACCGCCCGUCUU
rnacentral:rRNA from 1 species